GAUGAACGCUAGCGGCAGGCUUAAUACAUGCAAGUCGAGGGGUAACAUGGGUAGCAAUACCUGAUGACGACCGGCAAACGGGUGCGGAACACGUACGCAACCUUCCCAUAACUGGUGAAUAGCCUUCCGAAAGGGAGAUUAAUACACCGUAACAUAACGAGUAGGCAUCUGCUUGUUAUUAUAGGCUUCGGCCGGUUUUGGAUGGGCGUGCGCCUGAUUAGGUAGUUGGCGGGGUAACGGCCCACCAAGCCUGCGAUCAGUAACUGGUGUGAGAGCACGACCAGUCACACGGGCGACUGAGACACGGGCCCGGA
rnacentral:rRNA from 1 species